AUGAACUCUGCGCCGUUGGAGGCGGCAUCGUCCCUACUGUACCUAUCCUUGUCCCAUCCCUCCACACCCCCCACACCUCCCCGAGCCUGCACCCGACCCUUUACAAACAUUUCCUGCAAGGUAUGCUCGCGUGGACCCUCAAAGUCCCUAUUCCCGUUCUCCAGCAGCGCUCCCGCCGGGUCUGGUCCACGGCUCGCCCCGCCCCCGUCGUCUCGGCAACGGGGCGCCGCAGCCGGGUAAGGGGAAGAAGGGGAAAGGCCCAGGCAAGGCCCCUGGGAAGAAGCAGAAGAAGCCCGAAGUGGACAUCCUGAGUCCGGCCGCCAUGCUGAACCUGUACUACAUCGCGCACAAUGCAGCCGACUGCCUCCAGCUGCGUGGCUUCCGGUGGCCCGGCGCGCCCAAGGGGAAGAAGGGCAGGAACAAGACCUAAGAGAAGAGAGAAGGAGAUAACCGGACAGCGAUGACUGCAGGCAAAAUAGACCUCACCGGAGACAUUUUGAAAUGCAGCUCAGUGUGCUUUUUGGUGGUAAAUUAGGAUUUUAAAGCGCAUUUUACUUCCUCAGCUGACCCAGGUAUAACUAAGGGGAGGUUUUUCAAAAGUUAUGGGAAACAAGCCCCGUGCAGUGCCUACACAGCUUGGUGGAACUCCUGGUACUUUUAAAAACUAUCAUCAUAAUUCUGUGUCAGAAUUAAACCUUGCUCUGGAAAGGCAGUUGCAGGUUGCAUGACUUGUUUUGUUUUGCAGAAGGGGGUUUGCUAUUAGAGAAGACACAGCGCGUGCUUGGACUUUACUUAUGAACACCCCUCUCUGGCACUGUUUUUUGUUUUUGUUUUUGAACCCUGGGCUGAGCCCUGGGCUCUUGUGCGUGCUAGCCCAGUGUUCUAACUUCAUUUUUGUUUUUGUUUUUCUAACGGAAAAAAAGAUUCUUUUUAAGACAAGAUCUUGCUAUUGUUCAGGCUGGCCUUAAAUUCACUUUGUAGCCCAAGUUGGUCUUGAACUCACAGUAACGCUCCUGCCUCAGCCUCCCAAGUGCUGGGAUCACAGGCGUGUACCAUCAUGCCUGGCCAGAAAAUAUUUUCUGUCAUUUUCUUUUAGCUCUUUGGUUAGAUUCAGCUACAGACCCUGGUGAAGACAAGAGUGUCACAAGUGCAGUGAGCUUGCUGGACACAUAAACAGGUGAUUAAAAGGACCAGCGUGCUGGUACAUGCCAGUAUUCCCAGAACUCGGGAGGCUGGGGCAGGAGGAUUGACAUGAGUUCAAGGCCAGCUUGGACUACAUAGCGCAAAGCCAGCCUGCACUAAGCUCCUGUCUCAAAAAGCCAAAAUAAAUAAGUAUAUGUCCAUUGUCCAACCCGAUAGGCAGGAGCCCCUGGUGGCGAUUGAGCACCUGAAGUAUGGCUGUGCAACUGCAGAACUGACCUGAUUUGAUUUCCCUGUAAUUAGUUUAAAUUGGAUGCCUUGGGGCCAGCCCUUGAGGCAUCCAGGAUCCACGUCAGUGCAAGGACCUCAGCAGCAGGGUUGUGACUCUUCCUUCUUGUGCAGUGGUGGUGAGGCCAGGGAUUCUGCAGGCUGGAACAAUGGGCCCUCCCUCUCUGCUCUACCUGUCACCUCUCCCCCUGCAGGGGUGCUUGCUGUAGGUUUCUGCCUUUCCAUGACUUAAGCUCCACUUUACGGUCUUUUUUUUUUUUUUUGUGGUCUUUUUGAGACAGGGUCACCCUGUGCAGCUCAGGCUGACCUUGAGCUCACUUUGUAGCCCAGGCUGGUCUCGAACUCGCAACGAUCCUCCUGCCUCAGCCUCCCGAAUGCUGGGAUUACAGGCAUGUGCCACCACACCAAGCUUUUUUUUUUUGGCACCAGGAAUCCAACUCACAACCUCACGCUUGCCAGGCACGUGCUGUGCCACUAAGCCGUAUCCCCAGCCUAUGGUCAUUUUUUUGGCUUGCUUUGAAGUUCAGCUUCAAAGUGAGACCCCUCAUUCUUGGGGUGUGACAGGAGGAAGGACCUGAUGGACACCCUGUCCCUUCAUGGGGCCUGGCUCUGUUGCAGCAGCACGGGGUGCGCAGUUGCAGUUGGGGCCUCCCGCUUGGCCUCAGCUGUGCUCACAGGGUGGGCUGAGUGGGUCAGGUGUCCCUGAACAGCGCAUCCAGAGUGAGCCUUCUGCAGGCCGGGGCGUGUGAACACUCACGUUCCUUCCCUCUGUGUCUCCCUGUAUGGUCAAGAUCCUAGAGAAAAUUCACCUCUGCUUGCAGUUUCAUUCACUUCCUCACAGUAAACAUGUCACACACGUUUUUCUUCUCUUGCUAUUGAUUGAUUUAUUUACUUUAACCAACUUUGUAGUUUUUGUUGCUUUCCUCCUGACUCCUCCUGAGUGCUAAAAUUACCAGUGUGUGCCACCAGAACCAGCUUCCCAUUUUGUGUUUUAAAAAUUUUCAAACCUAUAGAUAGUUUUUUUGUGGGGGCUGGGGAUUUAGCUCAGUGGCACAGCGCCUGCCUGGCAAGCGCAAGGUGGUGAGUUUGAUUCCUGGUACCGGAAAAACAAACAAACAAACAAACAAAAAAUUUGUGUGUGUGUGUGUGAGUGUGUGUGUCUUUUUGAGACAGGGUCCCCCUGUGCAACUCAGGCUGACCUUGAGCUCACUUUGUAGCCCAGGCUGGUCUCGAACUUGCAACCUCAGCCUCCCAAGUGCUGUGAUUACAGGCAUGUGCCAAAACCUAUAAAGAGUUUGAAAGAAAAUUCAGUGAAGGGGCUGGGGAUUUAGCUCAGUGGCACACUGCCUGCCUGGCAAGCGCAAGGUCGUGAGUUCGAUUCUUGGCGCUGGAAAAAAAACAAAAAAACAAAAAUUCAGUGAAUACCCAGAUCCUUUGCCUAGAGCAGGGCUCCCAGUCUUGGCCUUCUUGACCUUUUGUGCUGGGUGUCCCUCACCAUGGGUUGCCCCAGGGUCCUAGGAUGUCUGGCCGCACCUGCUGAGGGGCGGCUGUGCCGCCAGCCUCCAGCCCCACCUGCCAGAUGCUGCAGCAUACUUGGCUAUGACGGUCACGUGUCUCCACACUGCCAGAUGUGCCCCAGGAGACAAGAAUCACCCCACUCACUGACCUAAAUUUGUACAUUUACAUUUUGUUGCAUUUGUCCCUGCACACUAUACACAUUAAUAAUAUGAAUACAUACUUGUAUACACACAAAACACUGACAUCAAGCCUCCUGAGUCCUGGGAUGACAGGCAUGUGCCACAUGCCCAACCUACAGUAGAAUAUUAUCUGGCCUUAAAAAUGAAUGAAAUUCUCCAGCUGGUUGGGGUGGCCCACAUCUGUAAUCCCAGUGUCAGGAGACGGAGCCAGGAGGAUCAUCUCAGGUUCAAGGCUUGCUUGAACUACAUAGCGAGAGCCUGUCUCCAAAAGACAAAACCAAAACCAAAACAAAAACUGGAUGAAAUUCUUAUGUUACGGCAUGGAUGAAAUCCUUUGAAACAUGCUAAAUGAAAUAAGCAGAUAUAAAAGGACAAGUAUUGUAGAUUUACUUGCAUAAGUAAUCUAAAACAGGAAUAGUCCCAGAGAGAGACCAGUGAUCACCAGGGGCUGGGACAGUGGCAGGAGGUUUCUGUUUACUGGGUACAGAGUUAUGGCUGGGAAGGUGUGCAGGGCCUAGAGAUGGCAGUGGUGGUAGUUACACAGUGUGAGUCUGUUACUGCCACUGCACGGCCCCCUUCACAUGGCUAAAAUGCAAAGAUUUAUGUUGUGUGUAUUUUAGCCCAAUACAAAAUCCAGACUUUGUUUGUUUUAGAUCUCUAGAGAGGUUGGGAAGGGACAGCAGCAGGUGCAGGGAAGAUGUCCCUGGGCAGAAGAGCAGCCUUGGAGGAAGGGGCCCGCAGGCGGACAGCAGCCCCGCUCCUCCCACAGCACCCGUCCUCCGCAGCCUGCAGCUUUGCUCCGUGUCCUUCCUCGUAAGGCAGAGAAGCUGGGGCUCCUGCAAGACCCUGUCCCGAAACAGAAAAAGUGCUGGGCGUGUAGGUUGGUGGCGCUGUGCCCCUAGGUUUAAUCCCCAACACUGGGGGCAUAUAAUCCUUUUAUAAGACUUUUUUCUCUUCCUUCCCCUCCUCCUCCUCAUUUUUUAUUUAAAUGGACCUUUAGAAGUGCACUACAUUAAGCCAGGUGUUGUGGCAAAUACCUAUAAUCCCAGCAUUUGGGAAGCUGAGGCAGGAAGACUGCUACAAGUUCGACACCAGCCUGGGUUACAAAGAGAAACCUUGUCAAAAAUGAUAAAACGAGUGCACUAUAUGAAUUUGCAGGAUUUUUACCUACAUCAGUAGAGCCUGCCUCUGUGCCUGGAGUUCAGUUGUACUUACCGCCACAUUACUCAGCUGUAUAAAAGAAUGUCCAUUUACACAGCCUGGUCAAAUGUUUUAUCUUUUUGAGACAGGGUCUCACUAUGCAGUUCAGGCUGGCCUUGAAUUUUGUAACGCAGGCUGGCCUCGAACUCGCAAUGAUCCUCCUGCCGCAGCCUCCUGAGUGCUGGGAUUACAGGCGUGCGCCACCACGCCCGGCUUCUUGGUCAAAUGUUUUAAAAAAUGCAUCUGGGGCCCAGGGAUGUAGCUGAAUAGAGUGUGUACUUAGCAUACACAAAGCCCUAGGUUCAGUCUACAGUAGGAAAACAAAUGCGUAUAUAUAUUCUUACCUAAAAGGAGUACAUGCUGUUUUCCAAAGGCCCAGGAUGAUUUAUAGGACUGUUGCAGUGGCUCAGUUCUCAUUCUUAUAGCAAGUCCUGGGUUUGCUUCUACCCAGGCAGGUGAGCAGUGUGGCAGUGCAGACAGACAGCACCCAGGGAUCGAGCAGCUACUCACACAGACAUGGGCGGCCAUCUGCUGCUUGGGUUUGCACAGAUGUGCAAAGCCAUCCACCUGGCCAUGGCUUUAGGUGUCUUUGUAGAAAGCAGAGUCCCUAGGUUGGGAGUUAAGUCAUGGGUUGCAAAGCAAGACAUACCCUUGGAUAAAUAGAUGUGCGAUCUUGGGCCAAGCUGUCUAAUUUAUCUGUGGUUGUUUUCCCAAUUGUAAAACUGAAAGACCAAAAAAGACCUUAUCUUAUAGGAUAUCAUGGGGAUUAAAUGAGAAAAUAAUGUUUUGG
ensembl:lincRNA